rnacentral:lncRNA from 1 species
AAGUAGUCAUGGUUAAUGACUGUCCUAUUAGGCAGAGCUCAUCCAAAUUGCUGAGCAACUAAAUCUCUUUCCUCAUUGGUCAGAUUCCAGCCCCUACCCAAUUUCCUCUGCAAUUGUUUAUGAGUGUCAGCUCCAGAGAGGUAAAUGGAAUAGCUUUGCUCCUUCCAAAUAUUUUUUUAAUGUUGAAUUUGGCUUCUACUUCACAGCUGCAGUGUUUACUGACUUUAAGAAAACUGUCACUAUGCAACUUGUGUAUUCUGAACUGCAAGUUUUUAUUCUGUAUGCACUUACUGUAUAACAAACCUAGGGAAGUUCUUAAUGUCCAAAAGGGUGGCUAGUAGGGUUUGGAAUGCUAAGAUGUUUCAUUCAGAUUUAUUGAAGCCAAAUAGGUUCUGGACAAAGUUGAUGCCUCACAUAAAGAGGAUGUGUGAAAUGGAAACAGGCUUUUCCAUAGCAGCUACAGAACCUGAAGCCUCAGGUAAAGGCAUGUUAACAACAGUCCAUCAGUUACCAGUUUUCAAUACAGAAUGAAAAUGUCUGAGGGGGGAGGGUUGUCUAUUUAGCAUUUUUAUUAGUCUAAUUGCUAUUUUCAACCUACCGUUAAAUUUGUCUUAACAAGAUUAGCUAAUUACAAGCUGUAGCUCAAUGAUUAAGCUAAUUAAUUUGCAUACUCAGGUCUUUGGACAUUUAGCUAAUUAUUUUGAAAUCUUAAAAAGAAAGAAGAAAAGAACCUAUCCCAUUGGAAAAACUGUUGAAGCUUUUAUUGCAACAUUUGUUGCAAAUCUUUCAGCACUUGAAUGCUGAUGAACAGGAGUCUGAGCUGAGCUGAAGUCUCCAGCUUACUGUUGAAUAAUUAAGGCCCUUUUUCUGUGAAGUCAACAUGAUUAAUCAUAUUGGUAUGAGGCAUCAGGAUAGCAAACAAAACAGUUUCAGAAGAUGAGGAAGACAUACAGAGGAAAACACUGUCAAUCUUGUAGUCCUACUACAAAUAGGCCGAGCUCACCUGAUGGACAUGUGCUACCAAAGAACUCAUGCUCCAGGAUAAAAGCAAGAUAUCAUAUAAAUAGAUCAAAUAGCUUCACUUCAGUAUCAAACUCUAGCAACAGAAUAUGCAGAUGUAGGUUUUGUUUCUGUCAUUUAUUUUGGGGGUUGAUUUUGUGGUCUUUAUUGGUUGUUACUAAGCCAACAAUUAGAAAACCUCUCUCCUUUUCAUUAAAAGGUAAAAAUAGAACUGUACUUUUAAUGCCUACAAAAGCUUUGGGAAUUGACUCUUUGGGAGAUCUUGCAUUCACAUAUGAGAAUGUGCAUUCCUCUUUGGUAUUUAGCAUCCCUAGCUAGAGUUUGCAGGCAGCCAGUAAGGCUGUUCAUUCAGUGUGGGAAGGGGGACCAUGAGGGUGCUAAGUAAAUGCUGCCAGUCAGCAAGUACUCUGAGUAAUAAUCUAACAUAGGAAUAAUUAAGAUGUAAAAUAAAUGCUUCUUGAUUUGAAAACA